UACCCACCCUCUUUCUACACUUUUGUCAUUCAAGACUCUCUCACUAUCUCUCUCUGGUUUUCAUUCUUCUCUCUCUAAACCCCACAAACCCUAACACCUCUCCUCUUUCCAUACCCUUUUCCCUCUCACUCUCAGUCUUCCCUUUUCCCUCACCUUCACUCUCUUUAUGGUCUCCACUCUCUCCCGUCUUCUCUCUUCCGUCAUUUUCCGCCGACAACAACUUUUAUGUUCUCUCCCCCUUCCAUGUUCUCACUUCUCUUUUCUAUUUAGUUUUAAAAUCCUAGCUUUACCUAAAAUAUCUAUGAAAUGGAACACAAAGAGAAACCCCUUCUCAUCCUUCAUAUAAAAUCAUGGAUGGGUAGCGUCGGAGGGUGGUGGACGAAAGAAAAACUUGGUCGGAGGUUAUGCUUAUUAGGGUUUAGUGAAAGAUGAUGGUAGUCCCUGAAAAAUGGGAAGACGAAGGAAAGCAUGACGACGACGUCCUUUGACGAGGGUGAAUAUCUCUAAUCCUUUAUUUCUUCUUCUCUUUUGUUUUAUUUAUUUUUUUCUUCCACAUUUGAUUCUCUAGAUGUGUUUGAAAAUAUAUUUAUUUGUGAAAUGAACAAAGGAUUCUAUUUUGUGUCUUUCUGUUUUGGAUUUAUGUUUAAGUGAUCGCUUUGAUGAAUUUUGAAAAUAAACAAAGUUUAUGUUGGAUUCAGGUGAGUAACUGAGUUUAUUAUGUUUUAAUUCAAGAUUAAUGUUGUAUAAUAAAACAUGAGUUCUUUUAUUCUUUACUAUUUUGUUCAUAUGAAUCCAAUGAAUAGGCUUGAAGCUUUUGAAGUUAACAGCCUUUGUGAGAUAGCUAAAAAUGUUCUAACUGUAUUUCCUUUGACUGGUGCUUUGGCGAUGGUUUUUUAUAAAUGACAUACCAUACAAAGCAUUAAGAGUGCUCCAUUUCAUAUUUGAAGCAAAAUGGCUCAUAAUAAUUGGAUUAAAAGAUCAACUUUAGCUGUUGCAAGCUCCAUAUCAUGCUCUUUAUGGUUCAUACUGCAGAUCGGUGGAUCUGUGCAGAUGAUCAAGUUACAAGUUUUGGCUUGUCUUUUGAGUUUGAUGAUUUGUGGCAAACUCAGUUUUUGGCUGGAAUUGGGGUAAAAUAAUGGCAGUAGCUUUGGAACCUGCCCAAGAGGUCACAACAAAGAAAAGACGAGUAGUUGUGACAUGCUUGGGGGUGGAUACACCACUUGGUCACGAUCCAUAUGUCCUCUACAAAAUCUACUCAAUGGUGUUAGUGGUAUAAGUGAGAUUGAGAAUUUUGAUUGUGCAGAAUUUCCAACAAGGUUUGCUGGCGAAAUAAAGUGUUAUUCAACUGACAGAUGGGUAGCACCAAAGUUUUCAAAGGGAAUGGAAUAUAACUUGCAGAUUACAGACUAAUAUUUUUACUUGCACAUUGUGACUGAAGUGGUUCUUGUACACACAUGAAUGAACCAGAGCUGGUGAAAGUUUGUACUCUUAUGCUCUAACUGGAUAGAAGAUAAACGGAAUUGGAUGAACAAAUCCACGUCGUUACUCGUAACCGAGAACUUGAUGUCUGGAAGCAAACCAUACAAGACCAUAAAACCUAUGUGAUAUAUAAUGGAGAGCCUUUGAUUAAUGACAUGCCAUUGAAAGUCUGUGACAACAAGCUCAAUCUUUUUAUCAAUUCUGGCACUGCUAUAACAACCAUUGACAUCCUAGAUAUUCCACAUCACAAUUUCAAUGUCAAGCCCUCUGGAGAUUUCUUAAAUGGUCAUUUUGAUGUUGAUCACUUAUAUGUGCAGGAAAGUUAAAAUAAUGGAUCAUGUGGAUUUUUUGGAAGUGCAACUACUAUGAACAUGUGUUCCAAGUGCCAUAAAGACAUGAUGCUGAAACAGGAGGAGGCCCAGCUUGCAGCAUCACCCUUGAAAGUAUUAUGAGUGGGUCUACAACUAAAACUGAAAAAGAACCUCUUGCUGCCAGCAUUGAUAUCCUAAGAGAAGUGAUUCACUAAGAACUUUGUUUCAUUAUUCUGUCAUGUAAAAUUUUGUUAACUUUCUCUGAACCAACUUUUCCUCAGUUGUUCUAAAUGAGAAAAACUGUUCAAUGGCAUGUGUUCAUUAUGUUGAUUGACUAUGCUAUUUUAAUUUCAUUUUAGAACAACCUCUCCUCCUCUUAUGCGCGAGUUGAUUCUGUGUUGUUCUAAAAUGUUUUUAACUUUAUCUAACUUUUAUUCAAUUUCUAAUCUGUGUAUACUUUGUUGUAAACAUGGCUUACUAUGGAAUAUUGUUGGUUGAAAUGAUUUGAAAAUGGUUUACUGCUUAAUGCUUUAAACAUGGAUGUUCUUUGACAUAGCAAGCAAUUGAAAUUUUUAUGUAAAUAAGAACUAUAUGUUAAUGUACUCAACUAUUAUCUCAGAGGUUUCAAAAGUGCCUAAUUU